CCUUAGGUCACGGUCUGGAGAGAUGGGAUAUAUCACAAUCAUAUUCUCAUGAAAAAGGGACUAAAGAGAACAUCCAGUUUUGGUCUGACAAAGAAGGUUUUGUCUGUUUUUCACUCUUUACUUCUUUUUUUUCUUCUUAUUUGUUAAUAAAUAUUUUUUUUGUUAAAUCAAUUAUUUUUCAGUAUUCACAGCAAUUGAGUUCGACCCUAAAACUACUGCUGGAUGUAUCACGGAGUUUGCAUCUCUGAAUUUAAAGUAAACAAAAUAAAGAAGAAUCUCAAUAAAGAAAGAGAAGUAUCAUGAAGAGUGGAGCAAGCGCACAACUUAUUUGAGGAAUGACAGGAAGUGAGUGCAUAUGAACCUUAUAAAGUGAAGUAACAAAAAACAACAUUUUGCACAGUACAAAUUAAAAACUCGGCGGAUUUAAGACCGCCCACGAGGGCGAGGCCACGAGCAUGUCAUAUCUUUCUCUUUUUUGUAACUUAAGCAUGUCAUAUCUUUUCAAAUGUAAACGCGUUUUGUACAUACUAUUGAGAAUACUAAACUAAUAAUCAUUCCAUGCAGUACUGUAAUUCUAUAA